AGCAGCCGCGGUAAUUCCAGCUCCAAUAGCGUAUAUUAAAGUUGUUGCAGUUAAAAAGCUCGUAGUUGAAUUUCGGGAUUAGUACGUUGGUCGUGCCUUGGUACGUACUGAUGUAACUGAUUCCUCCCUUCUGACGAACCGUUAUGCCAUUAAUUUGGUGUGGCGGGAAAUCAGGACUGUUACUUUGAAAAAAUUAGAGUGUUUAAAGCAGGCUCGCGCUUGAAUACAUUAGCAUGGAAUAAUGAAAUAGGACGUUAAUCCUAUUUUGUUGGUUUCUAGGAUCGACGUAAUGAUUAAUAGGGAUAGUGGGGCAUUAGUAUUCAAUUGUCAGAGGUGAAAUUCUUGGAUUUAUUGAAGACUAACUACUG
rnacentral:rRNA from 1 species